UGGGGAAUUUUGGACAAUGGGCGAAAGCCUGAUCCAGCAAUGCCGCGUGUGUGAAGAAGGCCUUCGGGUUGUAAAGCACUUUUGUCCGGAAAGAAAUCCUUGGGCUCUAAUACAGUCGGGGGAUGACGGUACCGGAAGAAUAAGCACCGGCUAACUACGUGCCAGCAGCCGCGGUAAUACGUAGGGUGCAAGCGUUAAUCGGAAUUACUGGGCGUAAAGCGUGCGCAGGCGGUUUGCUAAGACCGAUGUGAAAUCCCCGGGCUCAACUGGGAACUGCAUUGGUGACUGGCAGGCUAGAGUAUGGCAGAGGGGGGUAGAAUUCCACGUGUAGCAGUGAAAUGCGUAGAGAUGUGGAGGAAUACCGAUGGCGAAGGCAGCCCCCUGGGCCAAAUACUGACGCUCAUGCACGAAAGCGUGGGGAGCAAACAGGAUUAGAUACCCUGGUAGUCCACGCCCUAAACGAUGUCAACUAGUUGUUGGGGAUUCAUUUCCUUAGUAACGUAGCUAACGCGUGAAGUUGACCGCCUGGGGAGUACGGUCGCAAGAUUAAAACUCAAGGAAUUGACGGGUCAUAGCUG
rnacentral:rRNA from 1 species